rnacentral:rRNA from 1 species
CANCGGCGGCUCGAGUGGUAACCGUUAUUAUUGGGUCUAAAGGGUCUGUAGCCGGCCGGAUAAGUCUCUUGAGAAAUCUGGCAGCUUAACUGUCAGGCUUUCAGGAGAUACUGUCUGGCUCGAGGCCGGGAGAGGUGAGAGGUACUUCAGGGGUAGGGGUGAAAUCUGGUAAUCCUUGAAGGACCACCAGUGGCGAAGGCGUCUCACCAGAACGGACCUGACGGCAAGGGACGAAAGCGAGGGGCACGAACCGG